rnacentral:rRNA from 1 species
AGAACGAACGCUGGCGGCAUGCCUAAUACAUGCAAGUCGAACGAACACUUCGGUGUUAGUGGCGCACGGGUGCGUAACGCGUGGGAAUCUGCCCUUGGGUUCGGAAUAACAGUUGGAAACGACUGCUAAUACCGGAUGAUGACGAAAGUCCAAAGAUUUAUCGCCCAGGGAUGAGCCCGCGUAGGAUUAGCUAGUUGGUGAGGUAAAGGCUCACCAAGGCGACGAUCCUUAGCUGGUCUGAGAGGAUGAUCAGCCACACUGGGACUGAGACACGGCCCAGACUCCGUACGGGAGGCAGCAGUAGGGAAUAUGGAC